GAUGAACGCUAGCUACAGGCUUAACACAUGCAAGUCGAGGGGAAACGACAUCGAAAGCUUGCUUUUGAUGGGCGUCGACCGGCGCACGGGUGAGUAACGCGUAUCCAACCUGCCCACCACUUGGGGAUAACCUUGCGAAAGUAAGACUAAUACCCAAUGAUAUCCCACGAAGGCAUCGGAAUGGGAUUAAAGAUUUAUCGGUGAUGGAUGGGGAUGCGUCUGAUUAGCUUGUUGGCGGGGUAACGGCCCACCAAGGCAACGAUCAGUAGGGGUUCUGAGAGGAAGGUCCCCCACAUUGGAACUGAGACACGGUCCAAACUCCUACGGGAGGCAGCAGUGAGGAAUAUUGGUCAAUGGGCGAGAGCCUGAACCAGCCAAGUAGCGUGCAGGAUGACGGCCCUAUGGGUUGUAAACUGCUUUUAUAAGGGAAUAAAGUAGGGUCUCGUGAGACUUUUUGCAUGUACCUUAUGAAUAAGGACGGCUAAUUCCGUG
rnacentral:rRNA from 1 species